rnacentral:rRNA from 1 species
GCAUAUCAAUAAGCGGAGGAAAAAGAAAAAUAACCAUGAUUGCCCUAGUAACGGCGAAGUGAAGAGGCAAAAGCUCAAGUUUGGAAGCUCAAUGGUUUAACCUUUUGCGCAUUGUAAACUGAAAACAGGAUCAAUCAGGUACACCGGGUGAUAAGUUCCUUGGAAUAGGACAUCAUGGAGGGUGAGAAUCCCGUCUUUGACCCGAGUCUAGUAUCUUUUGUAUUGGCCUGUUCAAGAGUCAGGUUGUUUGGGAAUGCAGCCUAAAGCUGGAGGUAAAUCCCUCCUGAAGCUAAAUAAUGGCGAGAGACCGAUAGCGAACAAGUACCGUGAGGGAAAGAUGAAAAGAACUCUGAAGAGAGAGUUAAACAGUACGUGAAAUUGCUUAAAGGGAAGCAUAUAAAGCUAGGAUGCGAUUGUUUUCUUCAGGUUGAGCUUUGGCUUGACUGUUCAGAAGGAUAAUCCGAGACAACAAGAAUUGGAGGAGAAGAAUAAGCCAUUGGGGAAGGUAAUCCUUCGGGAUGUUUAUAGACCUGAUGGUUCGCGCUUUUCUUUCGAUUGAGGUACGCUUUUUUAAAGGUUGUUGUCUGAAUGGCUUUAUAUGGCCCGUCUUGAAACACGGACCAAGGAGUCCACCUAAUGUGCGAGUAUUUGGGAGGUAAACCCAUAUGCGCAAUGAAAGUGACCAACCUAUGAGGGGGUCCCUCGGGGCCUCUGCAAUAGGAUCGGGCAGGGACGUUUUAUACUGAACUGACUCAGAUAAAGCACAUUGGAUGGGACCCGAAAGAUGGUGAACUAUGCUUGGAUAGGGUGAAGCCAAAGGAAACUUUGGUGGAGGCUCGUAGCGAUUCUGACGUGCAAAUCGAUCGUCGAAUCUGAGCAUAGGGGCGAAAGACUAAUCG